rnacentral:rRNA from 1 species
AACGAACGCUGGCGGCAGGCUUAACACAUGCAAGUCGAACGCUCCGCAAGGAGAGUGGCAGACGGGUGAGUAACACGUGGGAAUCUACCCUUUACUACGGAAUAACGCAUGGAAACGUGUGCUAAUACCGUAUGUGUCCUUCGGGAGAAAGAUUUAUCGGUAAAGGAUGAGCCCGCGUUGGAUUAGCUAGUUGGUGGGGUAAAGGCCUACCAAGGCGACGAUCCAUAGCUGGUCUGAGAGGAUGAUCAGCCACAUUGGGACUGAGACACGGCCCAAACUCCUACGGGAGGCAGCAGUGGGGAAUAUUGGACAAUGGGCGCAAGCCUGAUCCAGCCAUGCCGCGUGAGUGAUGAAGGCCCUAGGGUUGUAAAGCUCUUUCACCGGAGAAGAUAAUGA